rnacentral:lncRNA from 1 species
CACCCAUGGCAUAGGGAGGUUCCCAGGCUAGGGGUUGAAUCAGAGCUACAGCUGCCAGCCUAUACCACAGCCAUAGCAACGCCAGAGCUGAGCCACGUCUGCGACCUACACCACAGUUCAUAUGGAAAUGCUGGAACCUUAAUCCACUGAUCGAGGCCAGGAAUCGAACCCCCAACCUCAUAGUUCCUAGUCCGAUUCGUUUCCACUGCACCACAACAGGAAUUCCGAUGAAUAAUAAUUUUUGAUUAUUUUUGUAAUCAAUAAAAUGUAAAGAAUAAAACUGAAAAAGAAAGUAAUCAGAUUGUACCUCUUGUCCUGCAACUAUUGCUACAUUCUGCCCCCUUUAAAUCCAUCUAGUUCCAGGUCGGUAUCACCCACCUGUGGACUAAAUAGCUCUAAAUAAAGUGUCUCUGGAAAGCUCUAGGGUAGAGGGAAUAAGACAAAUUUGUUUGUGACUUUAAAAGAUGGUGCUUACUUCCAAAUUUCAGGUUAGGAGAUGGGAGUAUUCUCAGCCCUAUGGAGUGAAAGCUGAAGUUUUGGUUCGCUGUUUAACUUCUCAGAGAACCUAAUCAGAUUAACAACUUCAGUAGGAACUAGAUGCGAUGUUUCAAUUUAGUUUAUAUUAUCAAGCUUCCCCAAGCUAAAAAUAAAAUCAAAGAAUAUUCUUUUGUUAACUGUAAAAUAAAACAAAGCUCCAUCACUUAAUUGAUCUUAUAAAAAUCAAGGUAUAGUAUAUCCAAAACUUUUAAGUAUCAGAGCAUCUGGGUUAUAAUUCGAGUUCUACAGUAAUAUGUGGGCUCAUGUUACUGCACGCCACUCCAAACAUAGUAAGUUCAAACAUAGUAAUUUCUGGAGUUCCUGUCAUGGCGCAGCGGAAACGAAUCUGACUAGGAACCAUGAGGUUGCCAGUUCUAUCCCUGGCCUCGCUCAGUGGGUUAAGGAUCCCAUGUUGCUAUGACCUGUGGUAUGGGUAGCAGAAAGGGCUUGGAUUCCGAGUUGCUGUGGCUGUGGUGUAAGCCGGCAGCUGUAGCUCUGAUUCAACCCCUAGCCUGGGAACCUCCAUGUGCUCUGUCAUCCCGUCCCUGGGGGUCUCUCAAAUCCACCCACCGCCACGCUCCACGUCAGCUCAGCACCCUCCCUCACCUGGACCACAGCCUUAUGUCUGGUCUCCUUGGUCCUCACGGUCUAUUCUGCGCACUAUAGCUGGACUGAUCUGUUAUGGUUCACUUUACAAUCACAUCUUUUCUCCGUUUUAACCCUUUGGUGCCUCCCCAGUGCUCACAAGACAAGGUAUUCUCAGCCCUAUGGAGUGAAAGCUGAAGGGUUGGUUCGCAGUUUGAGUUAAGGGUGAGGCUUGAGGCAGCUUUCCUAUUAAACGCUGCCUUGGUUAAAGCAGUGAUUCCCAAUCUUGAGAUUUACCCCCAAACUUUUUAAGGCUGAUGCAUUCUGAAAACUAUCCCAGACAACUCAAAGUGGGCAGAUGCCCACACUUUGAGGAACACUGAUGAGUGACAAGCAAUAAAGAGAGUCAGAGCUCCAAAUGCGGGAGCAGCCUGGAGUCUGGCAUUAACCAAAGGUGGCUUCCAAGUUCAGGGAAAGCUGCUGUUCUCAGAAUCUGCACCAAAGGUGACUCAUUUUCUCUCAUCCCCUCACCAAAGAGGAGGGUUCUGGUGACAAGCUCCAGCCAGGGGCUCUUUAAAAAAGCAAUGUAAAUAUUGCAUCUUCCUUUUGUUAAUAAUGCACCUAUUUAUUUAUAGAAAGUAAAUGUUUAAAAAGCAGCAGCCUCAUGAUUUUAAUUUGGAAUUUAAUCCUUUUACAGAAUUCAAGAGCAAAAUUCCACAAGGGCUGGACCAGUUCAUACAAAUACUGAGUCUCCAUCAGCUCUCCAAGCCUCUGUGCAUUGCGUGUUCAAAUACAUGUUGGGUGUGGGGCGGGGGAAGGGUUGGGAAGGAGGCUCUGUUUUUUAUCCCACAGUUUCUCAUUGAGAAACUGAUUCCCUCUUUGCCUUCACACAGGACUGAAAAAAUGAUUCCAAACUGCAUACAUCUAUUUGAUGUUAAAAAAAAAAAAAGGGGAGUUUCUGUUGCGGCACAGCGGAAACAAAUCCAACUAGGAACCAUGAGGUUGCGGGUUUGAUCCCUGGCCUCACUCAGUGGGUUAAGGGUCUGGUGUGGCUGUGGCUGUGGCAUAGGCUGGCAGCUGUAGCUCCAGUUGGCCCCCCUGGCCUGGAAACCUCCAUAGCCACGGGCGCAGCCCUAAAAAGACAAAAAGACCAAAAAAAAAAAAAAGAAAAGAAAAAAAAGAAAAAGAACUUGAAGAGAGAACAUCUCUCUUAGGAAACUGUGCAUUCUAAUUUCUAAGUCUUAUUCCAAGGCACUUUUAUUAUUUUUGUACCAAUCAUCUCUCAUUAUUAUUAUUACUCUUUGAACAGACAGGCCUGGGAUUGACUACUAUCCCCCAAACUACUAGCUGCCUAAAUCUGGUCAAUGAACUUACCCUCCCCAAGCCUGUUCUCUGGCUUUUCUUAUUUAAAAUAAGUAUGUGGAACCUGGUAAAACAAGGUAGGUGUCAGAGUUCCCACUGUAGCAUAGUGGGUUAAGAAUCAGAUUGCAGUGGCUAGAGUCACUGCAGAGGUGCAGGUUUGAUUCCUGGCCCAGCACAGUGGGCUAAAGGAUCUGGCAUUGCCACAGAUGUGGCUUGGAUUCAACCCCUGGCCUGGGAAUUACCAUGUGCCAUAGGUGGGGCCAUAAAACAAAAUGUAUGUAAAUUCCCCUUCCUUUCCCUUCUCCCCGCUGCCCGUCACAUACCACAGCAUUGCCUCCGGGAUGCAGUUGUGCAGUUGAUGAUCAAUCUCCUUUUGGUCUAGAACUGGAAUUUAUUUCCUUGCACUCAUGCCCUUUGUACUAACGUCAGUUCGAAGAAAACAUCAUUUGGUCUCAUGUGGUCCAGCAGAGCAUCCUCUAAGAGGGCUGUUGGUUGGCUGUCAAGAGGACUUUCAGGUGGCAUUUAUCCUAUGGGAACUCAUGACGGUCCAAGGCCUCCUUUUCAGCCUUCCAGACCAAGAACCUGAUUUGUCCAAUGUGCUGAUGGAGGGUCUCUCCU